rnacentral:rRNA from 1 species
AUUGAACGCUGGCGGCAUGCCUUACACAUGCAAGUCGAACGGUAACAGGGAGCUUGCUCCGCUGACGAGUGGCGAACGGGUGAGUAAUGUAUCGGAACGUACCUUUUAGUGGGGGAUAACGUAGCGAAAGUUACGCUAAUACCGCAUAUUCUCUGAGGAGGAAAGCAGGGGACCUUCGGGCCUUGCGCUAAUAGAGCGGCUGAUAUCAGAUUAGCUAGUUGGUGAGGUAAAGGCUCACCAAGGCGACGAUCUGAAGCGGGUCUGAGAGGAUGAUCCGCCACACUGGAACUGAGACGCGGUCCAGACUCCUACGGGAGGCAGCAGUGGGGAAUUUUGGACAAUGGGGGGAACCCUGAUCCAGCCAUGCCGCGUGAGUGAAGAGGGCCUUCGGGUUGUAAAGCUCUUUCGGCCGGGAAAAAAUCGCAUGGGCUAAUACCCUGUGUGGAUGAUGGUACCGGAAUAAGAAGCACCGGCUAACUACGUGCCAGCCGCCGCGGUAA